rnacentral:rRNA from 1 species
AUUGAACGCUGGCGGCAUGCUUUACACAUGCAAGUCGGACGGCAGCACAGAGAAGCUUGCUUCUUGGGUGGCGAGUGGCGAACGGGUGAGUAAUAUAUCGGAACGUACCGAGUAAUGGGGGAUAACUAAUCGAAAGAUUAGCUAAUACCGCAUAUUCUCUGAGGAGGAAAGCAGGGGACCUUCGGGCCUUGCGUUAUUCGAGCGGCCGAUAUCUGAUUAGCUAGUUGGUGGGGUAAAGGCCUACCAAGGCGACGAUCAGUAGCGGGUCUGAGAGGAUGAUCCGCCACACUGGGACUGAGACACGGCCCAGACUCCUACGGGAGGCAGCAGUGGGGAAUUUUGGACAAUGGGCGCAAGCCUGAUCCAGCCAUGCCGCGUGUCUGAAGAAGGCCUUCGGGUUGUAAAGGACUUUUGUCAGGGAAGAAAAGGCUGUUGCUAAUACCGACAGCUGAUGACGGUACCUGAAGAAUAAGCACCGGCUAACUACGUGCCAGCAGCCGCGGUAAUACGUAGGGUGCGAGCGUUAAUCGGAAUUACUGGGCGUAAAGCGAGCGCAGACGGUUACUUAAGCAGGAUGUGAAAUCCCCGGGCUCAACCUGGGAACUGCGUUCUGAACUGGGUGACUAGAGUGUGUCAGAGGGAGGUAGAAUUCCACGUGUAGCACUGAAAUGCGUGAGAUGUGGAGGAAUACCGAUGGCGAAGGCAGCCUCCUGGGAUAACACUGACGUUCAUGCUCGAAAGCGUGGGUAGCAAACAG